rnacentral:ribozyme from 1 species
AGAAGACUCAAUCAUUUUCGGGCAUACUUUAUGAUCGGACAAUCUUUUUUAAUUAAAUUUAAUAAAUAUGGCUCCACAAACUGAAACUAAAACAGGUACUGGCUUCAA